GGAAUCACCUCUAGGUUUGGUCACCCAAUCUGCUCAUCCAGCUCGUUUCUCCCCCGAUGACAAAUACUCUAGGCAGAGAGUUCUUCUUAAGAAGCGAUUUGGCUUGCUACCUACACAGCAGCCACCUCCAAAGUACUGAACUCAACACAUUCUCAAAUCAACUCUAUGGCACUUCUCAAGUGUUUGUUUCCCAAACCCCCAUCAAUAGUAGAUUGUGACUUGGUUAAACUUUGCUAGGUAGUUUUUGCCUUUUCUUUCUAUGGCUUGUAAUUGAGCUGUAAAGCACAAAUCACUGUUGAACCUUUCUUUAAGCUUGUCAUCAGCUUUAUAUUUGUAUUGAACUUUAUUUUACUGAAAGCAAACUUAUC
rnacentral:misc_RNA from 1 species